rnacentral:rRNA from 1 species
ACUCCUACGGGAGGCAGCAGUGGGAAUAUUGCGCAAUGGGGGAAACCCUGACGCAGCCAUGCCGCGUGAGUGAAGAAGGUCUUCGGAUUGUAAAGCUCUUUCAAACGGGGAAGAUGAUGACGGUACCCGUAGAAGAAGCCCCGGCUAACCUUCGUUGCCAGCAGCCGCGGUAAUACGAAGGGGCUAGCGUUGUUCGGAAUUACUGGGCGUAAAGGGCGUGUAGGCGGUCUGAUCAGUCAGAGGUGAAAAGCCCUGGGCUCAACCUAGGAAUUGCCUUUGUACUGUCAGNCUAGAGUUCGGGAGAGGGUAGUGGAAUUCCCAGUGUAGAGGUGAAAUUCGUAGAUAUUGGGAAGAACACCAGUGGCGAAGGCGGCUACCUGGACCGAUACUGACGCUGAGGCGCGAAAAGCGUGGGGAGCAAACAGGAUUAGAUACCCUGGUAGGCUCUGC